UGCGUGGUUUUUGUUAGCUGUGGACGGACUUCGCUAGCUCCCAGUCAACUUAAACAGUUAUAUUUAGUUAAAAUUUACAACCGUGAAGUUCGGCUAAGAAAAUAGCUAAGCUAAAAUGCUGAUGUGCCAUGUGAAUUGCAUUGAAUGUCUCUGCAACUUGUGAUUGCUUAAGCGAAAGGAUCAAAGGAAAAGACUAUUUGAAACGUAU